rnacentral:rRNA from 1 species
UACGUAGGGUGCGAGCGUUAAUCGGAAUUACUGGGCGUAAAGCGUGCGCAGGCGGUUCGUUGUGUCGGCGGUGAAAGCCCCGGGCUUAACCUGGGAAUGGCCGUUGAAACUGGCGAACUGGAGUGUGGCAGAGGGGGGGUGGAAUUCCGCGUGUAGCAGUGAAAUGCGUAGAGAUGCGGAGGAACACCGAUGGCGAAGGCAGCCCCCCUGGGCUAACACUGACGCUCAGGCACGAAAAGCGUGGGGGAUCAAACAGG